rnacentral:rRNA from 1 species
UACAUGCAAGUCGAGCGGACAGAUGGGAGCUGCUCCUGAUGUUAGCGGCGGACGGGUGAGUAACACGUGGGUAACCUGCCUGUAAGACUGGGAUAACUCCGGGAAACCGGGGCUAAUACCGGAUGGUUGUUUGAACCGCAUGGUUCAAACAUAAAAGGUGGCUUCGGCUACCACUUACAGAUGGACCCGCGGCGCAUUAGCUAGUUGGUGAGGUAACGGCUCACCAAGGCAACGAUGCGUAGCCGACCUGAGAGGGUGAUCGGCCACACUGGGACUGAGACACGGCCCAGACUCCUACGGGAGGCAGCAGUAGGGAAUCUUCCGCAAUGGACGAAAGUCUGACGGAGCAACGCCGCGUGAGUGAUGAAGGUUUUCGGAUCGUAAAGCUCUGUUGUUAGGGAAGAACAAGUACCGUUCGAAUAGGGCGGUACCUUGACGGUACCUAACCAGAAAGCCACGGCUAACUACGUGCCAGCAGCCGCGGUAAUACGUAGGUGGCAAGCGUUGUCCGGAAUUAUUGGGCGUAAAGGGCUCGCAGGCGGUUUCUUAAGUCUGAUGUGAAAGCCCCCGGCUCAACCGGGGAGGGUCAUUGGAAACUGGGGAACUUGAGUGCAGAAGAGGAGAGUGGAAUUCCACGUGUAGCGGUGAAAUGCGUAGAGAUGUGGAGGAACACCAGUGGCGAAGGCGACUCUCUGGUCUGUAACUGACGCUGAGGAGCGAAAGCGUGGGGAGCGAACAGGAUUAGAUACCCUGGUAGUCCACGCCGUAAACGAUGAGUGCUAAGUGUUAGGGGGUUUCCGCCCCUUAGUGCUGCAGCUAACGCAUUAAGCACUCCGCCU